UACGGAGGUUGCGAGCGUUGUUCGGAUUUACUGGGCGUAAAGGGAGCGCAGGCGGUCUGCCAAGUCGAAAGUGAAAAUCCGGGGCUCAACCUCGGACCUGCUUUCGAUACUGUCAGACUCGAGUACGCGAGAGGAAAGUGGAAUUCCAGGUGUAGCGGGGAAAUGCGUAGAUAUCUGGAGGAACACCAGUGGCGAAAGCGACUUUCUGGCGCGUUACUGACGCUGAGGCUCGAAAGCGUGGGGAGCGAACGGG
rnacentral:rRNA from 1 species